GUGGGGAAUAUUGGACAAAGGGGGGAACCCUGAUCCAGCCAUGCCGCGUGUGUGAAGAAGGCCUUUUGGUUGUAAAGCACUUUAAGCGAGGAGGAGGCUACCGAGAUUAAUACUCUUGGAUAGUGGACGUUACUCGCAGAAUAAGCACCGGCUAACUCUGUGCCAGCAGCCGCGGUAAUACAGAGGGUGCAAGCGUUAAUCGGAUUUACUGGGCGUAAAGCGCGCGUAGGUGGCCAAUUAAGUCAAAUGUGAAAUCCCCGAGCUUAACUUGGGAAUUGCAUUCGAUACUGGUUGGCUAGAGUAUGGGAGAGGAUGGUAGAAUUCCAGGUGUAGCGGUGAAAUGCGUAGAGAUCUGGAGGAAUACCGAUGGCGAAGGCAGCCAUCUGGCCUAAUACUGACACUGAGGUGCGAAAGCAUGGGGAGCAAACAGGAUUAGAUACCCGAGUAGUCC
rnacentral:rRNA from 1 species